UACGUAGGGGGCUAGCGUUGUCCGGAAUCAUUGGGCGUAAAGCGCGUGUAGGCGGUCCGGUAAGUCCGCUGUGAAAGUCGGGGGCUCAACCCUCGGAUGCCGGUGGAUACUGUCGGGCUUGAGUACGGAAGAGGCGAGUGGAAUUCCUGGUGUAGCGGUGAAAUGCGCAGAUAUCAGGAGGAACACCAAUUGCGAAGGCAGCUCGCUGGGACGUUACUGACGCUGAGACGCGAAAGCGUGGGGAGCAAACAGGAUUAGAAACC
rnacentral:rRNA from 1 species